CCUCUAGGCUUGCAUUUACACACAAGCUCAAGCAACCUACCCGAACUCUCGGCGGGCCACCGAUUGAGUUCCUAUUUGGUCUUGCUACGAGUGGAGUUUACCUAGCUGCCAAAUGUUACCACUGGCACGGUGCGCUCUUACCGCACCCUUUCACCCUUACCAGCCAAAGCUGGCGGUCUGCUCUCUGUUGCACUAGUCGUAGGCUCGCGCCCCCCGGAUGUUAUCCGGCACUCG
rnacentral:misc_RNA from 1 species